CCUCUUUCUCUCUCAGCCUCUCAGGCGAUAAUCGAUUCUAAGUUUCUCUCUCAGGCGAUAAUCAAUUUCAAAUCAUCAUUCAUCUCGUCAAUCGUCAUCAAGCAUCUCCACUGCGGCUCUGCUUCUCGUGAUCUGAAGCUUGGAGCUUCAAUCAGAUCUGAAGCUCUACUUUGCGAACUUUUGAAAAGAUGGACAAAUCACUGAGCUUGUGUGAUGAUAACUACAUCGUGAGUGAUACUGAAUGGGAUCGACAUAUGCUGGAAGAAGAAAACAAUCUGGUGGAAGAUGAAAACAAUCCGGUGAAAGAUGAAAACAAUCCGGUGGAAGAUGAAUCUCUCAUGGGUGAAUCAUCUCAUGCUCAAGUGAAAAGAGAAGAGCCAGACGAUGAGUCAAAACUCUGUCUUUGAUCCUACCCUUCAAGAAAUUAUUAAAGAGAUUAGACCUACGCGAGCAGAUUGGGAUGCGAGGAUCCAAGUGAUUAAUCGGUUGUGUGGCGUCGUACAAUAUGUAGACUGUUUAAGAGGUGAGGUGUUGAUGCACACUUUUAUGCUUCUUCUAAUUUAUAUCAUUUUUCAUGGGUAUCUGUGUGAUUAUUGUGAUAAUGGGAAAUGAAAAUGAGAUAGUUCAGUUAAGGUAAUCUCAUUCACUAUUGUGAUAAUGGGAAAUGAAAAUGAGAUAGCUAAAUUUGUUCAAUGCUGUUAAUCUUUCCCAUUCACUA